UGUAAUGGUUCUCGAGUUUGAAUAAAGUUUCUAAAAAAGUUUACUGCAAGUCAUCUGCAUGUACAAAGUUUUUUUUUACAAAAUUCUUGAUCCUGUGACGCUAAUUAAAUCAUACGCAAAAUAAAAAAAGAAAACUAACAAAGACACACAAAGUCAGCAUGCGUGUAGGCACAUGAAUCUGACUAGGGAGGCAAUGGCAUGCUAGAUCGACGUAUCAAACUAGUUAAAUA
rnacentral:lncRNA from 1 species